UUGGGGGCUUGUGAUGGUGCUAGAAUGAAAACAAUCGAAAGGAACUUGUGGACGCAGUAUGUAUGCAAGGCUUGUGGGGAUAGAGUGCUUAGAGGAGCUCAUGAGUGGGAGCAGCACAAACAGGGCCGUGGGCAUCGAAAACGAAUUUCUCAGCUUCGGAAGCUUCAAGGGCAAGGCUUUUCUUUGGUAGAGCAGGAUUUCCAAACCAUAAAUAAUGACCAAGUUUCAGGAUCAAAGAUUUCUAGUCACAAGCUGGAA
rnacentral:misc_RNA from 1 species